AGCGAACGCUGGCGGCAGGCCUAACACAUGCAAGUCGAACGAACUCUUCGGAGUUAGUGGCGGAAGGGUGAGUAACACGUGGGAACGUGCCUUUUGGUUCGGAAUAACUCAGGGAAACUUGUGCUAAUACCGAAUGUGCCCUUCGGGGGAAAGAUUUAUCGCCAUUAGAGCGGCCCGCGUCUGAUUAGCUAGUUGGUGAGGUAACGGCUAACCAAGGCGACGAUCAGUAGCUGGUCUGAGAGGAUGACCAGCCACACUGGGACUGAGACACGGCCCAGACUCCUACGGGAGGCAGCAGUGGGGAAUCUUGCGCAAUGGGCGAAAGCCUGACGAAGCCAUGCCGCGUGAAUGAUGAAGGUCUUAGGAUUGUAAAAUUCUUUCACCGGGGACGAUAAUGACGGUACCCGGAGAAGAAGCCCCGGCUAACUUCGUG
rnacentral:rRNA from 1 species